AAUUCAUUCCAAGCAAUUUUAUUUUCUUUUUUAUUCAGCCCCCACAUUGAGGCGGAUUUUUUGUGUAAAAACGAAAAUGAAAUUAGAAGCCUCCCACUUGGGGGGCUUUUUAUU
rfam:Shewanella sp. P1-14-1 AN944_contig000022, whole genome shotgun sequence.